AAUCUGUCAUUUUCUAGCUUCUCCAGCUGAGACUUCUCGGAGCAUUUUCUGAAUUCACCCUAUGUUAUAUGAUCCUCAUGUAGCCGGUUCCUCCAAUGACAUAAACUCGAAUUAUAAGAAUCUAUCUUCGUGAUAACAUGACGUAUAAAUGCCACUCUAAAAGGAAAUCGUUCGUCAAUGAAGUUCUAGUUAAUAAAUCUCCAGUUUCGUUUGUUAGUAGGAACGCGAUAUAUUGAUUUUGUUUUAUCCCAUGUUGCUAGUGCACGUUAGUAAUGGCUAGUAUGAGUGCCGAAUGUUUGAUGAAAGAAUUUCUGUGAAUCGACAAAAAGAACAAUGGAACUGACCUGCCCGGGGAGAGCGCCUACAUCGAGAACGCAGCUUACGAUCGGCGAAUCGCCGUAAGAGAAAGCGCGACUUCGCAUGUCGCCGCCAUCUAUCGGGAAGAAAAAUAUUUAUUUCUCUUUGCUGAUUUUUUCCCGUUAUUAGGAGUUUUCUCACUUCUAUCCUUUACCCUACGGCGCUUUUUGUCUUCGGAUAACUCUGUCUUCACGUGACUCGAUGCCGGGUCCUUUCAUUGCGAAGGCCACUUCUAUACAGACUAUGCCAUGCGUUCUUUUUAGCGAUUACUGUUCGGAAGUCGUAUUUGGUUUGUUUGCGCGCCUGAUCCACGGUGCAUAUACGCAUUUCUUGGCUAUGUCGGCGAAUACUUAUUGCGCAUGCCGAUCAACUUUGCAUCUCGUUUCCUAAUGACGCCAGUCGCGUUUUUAUCUGCCGAGUUCGCCAAAUCUCGAGCAAUUUAUUUAACCGAACAUAUACGUUUAGCACAAAGCAUGGCAUUAUGCGAAUUAUUGCAUAGGUGUUUUUAUUCUGUGCCUCAGGGAUACUCGAAAUGCCAUCAAAUCCAUCGAAAGAGUCAGAGGACGCUAAAUGACCGCUAGCGGCCUCUUACCAGUCCCGAUAUCAUAUCGUUAAAUAGUCUAUGUAGAUGCCUUUUCGGCAGGGCCGUAACUACGGUACCCAGUGCCUGUGCAUAGUACAAAAUAGUACAAAUUUACACCCCCCACCAUUUUUUCAUUUAAAGAUAACAAUGCUGAAACUGAAUUAUCUCCAUCAAAAUGAGUUGAUUUUUGAAUCUGCUGUAAGAUAAUUAUUUAUUUAUAGGUAUAAAUAAAA
rnacentral:lncRNA from 1 species